rnacentral:lncRNA from 12 species
AUGAGACUGGGCCACAGCCUGUCUAGAGAUGAGUUGCUGCACCUCUGGAGCUUCUGCUGUUGGUCUACUUUGGGAGGAAAGCUGUUCUUCAGGGCUCAGUCUCGAUUAGAAACUUGGGCUGCUGAAGACACUGAGAUCACCUCGCAUCCUUGCCACUUGAGAUGUUUGUGUUGCUUUCCUGGGCCUGCCAACAAGAAAGCUGAGGUGGAGGAUGAGCCUGGUGUCCUGGAAAAGCCGCAGAGUCAGACUGAGAGCGUGCGGGUGUGGCAGAGCUUUUCAGCUCCCCUUGCUGCACACAGCCUUUUCACAAAGGCAGAGCUGGGACUUGUCUGUAUUUCUCUUCCUGCUGUCCUUCUAAACACCAUUCUGCACACAAAUGUGCCCAUGCACUUGAAGCUCAUACUUUCCAGGAGAUGCACGUUACCUUGCCUUCUUCAAGCCUCUCUAUGGCUUAUACUGCAGCUGAUCCCAAAGCAGGAGUGAGGGGGAAAAUGGUAGUGGAAAUUCAAGGAAAGAAGGAAGCCAGGGCAGCUCUGACAGCUUUUAUGUCUCCUAAAGUUGGCAUGGACAUACACAGACUGGGGGAAGCACAUGUAUCCAUGUUUCUUGCUCACAGCAGUUUGGAAUGGGGGUAAGAAAACCUAACAUCCCAAACCCAAGCCAUUUUCCUAAAUGAGCUAUUGGAGAUCUUUGGUGCUGCCUCCCAAAGUCACCUCCUGGCUCAGUACAGCUGGUGGCACCUGUCUCCUCCAGCAGUGCCUGCAAGUGUAUGGGAAGCAGGUGGAGGCACAACUGGGGAAACGGGGAGAUGCAGAGGAGGGUGGAUGGAUCAAAUGUCCAGAACAGAGAGAGAAAUUUGAAAUCCCACAGAGGGAAUCCUUCCUUCUCUUGGAAGGCACUUUGAAGGGUUGUUUUAAAAGAUUUCUCCAGUGGACUCAAGAAGAAGAAGACAUGCUCAAGGUACAAGCAUGUAUUGCUUUCAGGUUCAUGGGCAUUUAGGGACAGCUUGAUCUGCUUAAGAUGCAAAAGAUAGUCCAAGGUAGACUAAAAGUUUGGAACAAAACUGAGGGACAUGAUGUUGUUACAACCAGAUAAACAGUCUGAUCUUCUUUCAAAGUUAAGCAGAUUUUACUAUAGUUAUUUCUACAUUACAUCCUCCUGUUUUGUACUUCCGAUGAAGUACUGUCUCCAGAGAAUGAAACCCCUCUAUACCCACAUGGCUGGGCGAAGCUGCUCAGGUCCUGCUGGGAAAUGAAACCUGUCCCCAGAAAGAAGUUAUCCAUAAACAGUGAAAAUACUUGUCAAAAUUGUACAGAGAGCCUUUUAAUUAAAAGAAAAAUAAAGCAAAGCAAAC